AUUGAACGCUGGCGGCAUGCCUUACACAUGCAAGUCGAACGGCAGCGGACCUUCGGGUGCCGGCGAGUGGCGAACGGGUGAGUAAUGCAUCGGAACGUACCUUUCAGUGGGGGAUAACGUAGCGAAAGUUACGCUAAUACCGCAUAUUCUGUGAGCAGGAAAGCAGGGGAUCGCAAGACCUUGCGCUGAUUGAGCGGCCGAUGUCAGAUUAGCUAGUUGGUGAGGUAAAGGCUCACCAAGGCGACGAUCUGUAGCGGGUCUGAGAGGAUGAUCCGCCACACUGGAACUGAGACACGGUCCAGACUCCUACGGGAGGCAGCAGUGGGGAAUUUUGGACAAUGGGGGCAACCCUGAUCCAGCCAUGCCGCGUGAGUGAAGAAGGCCUUCGGGUUGUAAAGCUCUUUCGGCCGGGAAGAAAUCGCACGGGCUAAUACCCUGUGUGGAUGACGGUACCGGAAUAAGAAGCACCGGCUAACUACGUGCCAGCCGCCGCGGUAACAC
rnacentral:rRNA from 1 species